ACGUUACGGGGCAGAUAUUCAAAUUCAUCAGUCAUCGAUGCAGGCUCUCAAUUCAGCUUGAGAGCCUGUUCGCAGGCUAGCUUGGCAACUAUUGUUCUCCUCAUUAAUAUUAUUUUCAUAAUUAAUAGUUAAUAUUAUCAAAGACUUAUUAUCAGAAAAACUUAACACAUAUGGCAUCAUCAUUCUUUUAUUAAAUUACCACACGUCAGCGAAACCUUAUUUUUGUCAGAGCUCUUAUUUAAGGUAAUUCCGCAGUUUUGCAUUGCGCACUUUUACUGCGCACAUCUUAUAACUUAUAAUUUCAUCCAUUAUACGUACCGUUUAAAAAAUAUCAUUUUAUGACAAUUUUAUGUUACUUCAAAACAUCUUUGGUUACAUUCGUGCAAAGAAUUACGUUAAAAUCAAUGUUUUCAAAAAAGGCAUACAAAAGUGUAGCUAGGGUUCCUGUGUCUGUAGUAUAUUUAUUCAUUUACUUGUAUUUCACGUUUUAAUGCCACAAUUCCCUAAAAAGAUCGGUGAACCCCAUUUUUUAACUGAUAAUUUAUUUCUUUAAUGCAUUUUACAUUUCAUAUCUGAAAUUAAAAGAAAAAUCAUUUCUGGAUCUUGAAAAAAAUGCUUUAUCAAUGUAUGUUCUCAAAGAAAGAUAUGUAAAGAAAUGUGCAAAAGACAUUUGUGGAUCAGAAUUGUACACGUUAGUAGUUCCAUUUUGCUCAAAACACA
rnacentral:lncRNA from 1 species